GAGCUUGGAGGAGGCUGUCAGGUGAAAGAGGAAUAGGAGAGGCAGCGCCACGGCUGCGGGGACAGCCAUGCUGCGCCCGGCCGUAACCGCGCGCAGAGCAAGACAUCUCAUAGGAGUCGUGCUCCAGACCCUUCCCCGGACAGGCUGCAGCACCUCAAUGUCUGUCUUGCCGUGCCGGUACCAAAAGUGAACACAGGACUCGGAAGGAUGGCUUCCGAGCAGAGCACUCGGAGACAGUCGCUGCCCUGGUUCUCCUACCGCACCAGUGCUGGAACAAGCCAGGUUGCCCCAAGCCCCAUGCGGCCUGGCAUCGAUCCUGCGGAGAGAUUCUGCUUCGGCUUCGCGUCUCUGCUCAGCUGCCUCUUUUGCCUACAGAAACUGAGCUGUAAGAGGAGGCAUUACACUGCAUUACCUCACAAUGGGUAUUGGAGUCCUACAGAGUACAGAAACAGUCCUUUUUCAGUUAUUUAUCACUUUGUCCACCAGUAAUAACAUUCAAUUUACUGUAUUAGACUUUUGUAUCUUCAUACACCUACGGAAGGUUUUAUGAGAACAUCCUCUCAGCCUUACUACUGCUUUCUACAGGGGUAAUGAAGGACUGACAGCAACUAUAAAACUGAGCAUUCUGGUUAUCCUGCCAGGAUUUUCCGUCCAAAGUGUUAGGCCAAAGGAAGGCAUAUAUUCAGAAAAUGUCCAAAAUUAAGGCAGGCUUGGUGUCAUGGAAGGAAUAUUUAAAAUUGAUGGAGGUUGAGUUCCUUCAGGUUACUGAGACAAGAGAACUUGUGUUUAGAAAAUGGGUAAAAUAAGAGCUGUGAUAAAUGGAGAUGAUUUGUGCUAACUAAACUGUAAUUAUUUGGAAAGUUAUUAUUGUAAAGCAGUAAAGGGAACUGGUGUUACAAGACAGAUGGACUCCUUUACAGAUAUUACAUGUUAAAAAUACAUGAUGUAGUUUUAAGAUAAGUAAUGUCUCAAGACAAAAUCGACCUUGAGAUGGACAAAGUUGGAAUGACUUUAAGCAUAAGGCCUGAAAUUACAAAAUGUAAGACUAAUUAGUGGAACACAAUACUUAUUUACAUAAGACAACGCUUAGUACACACAACCUGGUAGGUUCAGAGGACAACGAGGUUGAGUGUAAGCCUUCAUCCAAAAGACUACGAAAGGAAGACUGAAGACCCUCUAGCAACAAGUGAAGCAUGCGCCAUGAAAUAUAGUGAUGUAGAAUUUAAGAAUUGAAAGUAGGAAGAA